UGAGUACAACUGGUCAUCUGAUUUAAGCGAUGUCUUCUCAACAUGAGUAUCCUCAUCGAUACAGAUAUGGAGACCAUUGACUGUAAUCCUCGAAGUUCCUAUGUGUGGAGUAAUUUUGAAGUUACCAAUGAAAUACCAAUCUUUAUCACACAUCAUGCCUUCAUAAUGGUCUACUAAACGAUUCGGAAUCGAUGCACGUAUUCGAUCACCCUAGAUUUUCAGUUAAAAAAUAAUGAUGGUAUUGAUAAUAUAUUAAGAUUCAGACAGUAAUAUAUUAAGAUGCAGACAGUAUGUUAUUUUUGAAGUUAUACUUACAUGUUUGUCUGCGAAUAUAAACGAUCGCUGAAUACCGUGAACACCUAGGCUUUCCUCGACACUCUUGAUAACUUGAACACAGAGAGAAGAUCGAUCAGAUGCUAUAUCUAAAUCAGAAAUCAUCGUGCAAGGAGACAUUUUUUUCAAAAAUAGAUGCAGUUAUUCUUAACAAUGAAUAGAAUCUGAUUAUGAGUAACAAAUGGGUACUACUUUAAAUUGAAAACCACCGUUACGACAACCAAUAGUAGUGUUUGCAAUGUUUUGAAAAAUAACAGUCAUAUUUACCACCGCUAAUUUAGUUGACUAUAUAUGUCAUGUUUUGUUAUAAUUAUGAUAUAAUAAUUAUGAAAAUCAAUAAUAGAAAAAACCUCAUCAGAAUCAUUACUAGGUGAUAAAAUGACAUAUAAUUGUUAUGAUUAUUAAUAUUUAUUUUAUUGUGAUAAUAAUUAUGAUACUAGCUUUUUUAGAGGCUUAGACAUAGAAAUUUUUUUUCUGAAGGAAUAUUUAUUAGAUUUUAUUUCGUUUAUUAUAUAAAGUACAAUUUUUUCUAUAUUUGAUUAAUAUUAAUGGUAUAAUUUCAUUUUAUUGUUGUAAGUAAGUGUUGUUCAUCUUAAAAAAUGAUAUAUACCGAAAGUUUGACAAAAGAUAUUAUACAAUUUAACUAUUAUUCAUAAACUCAAAUAUAAAAAUAUUACACGAUUUCUUAAAUAUAUAAAGCCAGUGCUUGGCAAAAAUUGAAAAUAAAAAUGUGAUGUUUAUGUUACGAAAAUUUCAAUAAGCAAAUUAUAAUAAAGUUUAUAUAAUGAUUGUGUCCGCGCGACGCGGACAGAUAUCUAAUAUAUAUUUUAUUUGGAGAAAUCCAACACUGACCAAAAAAACAAAUCGACCCAAAAACCACAACUUUCCUUCUUCACCCCGAUUUUUUUUUUCUGGUUUCAUUUCUGAACAAAUUGAAAAUUUUAUUCUCAUUGACCUUAUUCACGAUCGAUAUGCUUAAUCACCGGAAGCACCACUGAUAAAAUUCGAUUGGUUUUUUUUUUUAUUGGGUUUAAUCACUUUAGUCUUGCUCUCACCAGCGACAUAGAGUUUUCUCCAAAUAUUCAUCUUCCCACCUCCUCCUCAUCAUCAUCAUCGUUUAAUUGGAGAAGAGCAAUUCGGCACAAUGGCAGAGAAGUGUCGUGACGUCGAGUAAGAGAAUGGGUGAUGGGACGAACGGGUCAUUGUCCUCGAGAAAUCCGGGUCAGAUUCUGGGUUGGGUCGUCCUUAUGUUCUUCUACUGCCGCUUCUGGGUUGGGUCGUCCUUAUGUUCUUCUACUGCCGCUUCUUUUUUUUGUUAAAGCUACUGCCGCUUCUAUAAGGCUCCUCUAUUCGUCUUUCCAAUCUGAGAAGACAAUGACGUCGCAGUCUGUAUCGAAUCCGGGUUGAUCCAAGUAACCGGGUCCCAGUUUUGUUAGAUUGCAUAUCGUCACGCAGGAGAUGAUCUGUUCAAGCUCGUGAAAGACUCGAUGAAUGUGAUUAGGUUCAUCCAAACACACACACAAAAAAAAAAAACAAUCACCAUAGUGAUUCCACCAUCUCCUUUUAUUCCUUUUCUUUAAAGAUCAGAAAUCAAAAAGAAAACUAAAUUAAACCUUAUAAGAACAGAAAUUUAGAGAGAUCGAGAGAGAUGUGAUAGAGAGAGAGGAAGAAGUGUCAAAAUCGUCUGAGGGCAAAAGAAAAGGGAGUAAGAAUAUGCUAUUGUAGGGUUUAAAAAAGGCGUAUCUGAGAUUUCUUACUUCUCGCUCACGAUGUUGCCGUCGACGGAAAUUGGAGAUUCAGCUCGGGAAACUGAACUGCAAUCACCAAAGGUAUCUACGAUCGAUGUUGCGCGCAGGUCCUGAGAAGGAAACAAACGGAAGGGAGGAGAUGAGAGAAGAUUUAGGUUUGCAAAGUAAGGAUUUUCCACCGCUCUAGGAGGAUCUUCUGGUUGGGAAAUUUCUUGAUACAGCUCCAUAUGUGGAGAAAGUCUAUAUGUUGGUAAACAAGAUAUGGCCAUUGUUGGAUAAAACGGUGAAGAUUUAUGUUUUUUGUGGUUGACAAAACAACUAUGAAAUUCCGUACCAAAGAUGAGAGUGUGAGGAAUAGAGUGUUACGAAGGAGAAUGUGGAAUUUAUGUGAAGUUCCAGUGAUUAUGUCAAAACAGAGUCCCAUUGCGGAAGAGAUGAAUCCGGAAGUUUCAAUAGAUUCAUCUCCAACCACGUUUUAGAAAGGGUAUAUCUAUUAUAUUAAAACAGAAGCACUUUGUUUAUUUUCAA
rnacentral:lncRNA from 1 species